rnacentral:rRNA from 1 species
GAUGAACGCUGGCGGCGUGCCUAAUACAUGCAAGUCGAACGCAUAGCGAAAGGUGCUUGCCCCUUUCAAGUGAGUGGCGAACGGGUGAGUAACACGUGGACAACCUGCCUCAAGGCUGGGGGUAACAUUUGGAAACAGAUGCUAAUACCGAAUAAAACUUAGUGUCGCAUGACACAAAGUUAAAAGGCGCUUCGGCGUCACCUAGAGAUGGAUCCGCGGUGCAUUAGUUAGUUGGUGGGGUAAAGGCCUACCAAGACAAUGAUGCAUAGCCGAGUUGAGAGACUGAUCGGCCACAUUGGGACUGAGACACGGCCCAAACUCCUACGGGAGGCUGCAGUAGGGAAUCUUCCACAAUGGGCGAAAGCCUGAUGGAGCAACGCCGCGUGUGUGAUGAAGGCUUUCGGGUCGUAAAGCACUGUUGUAUGGGAAGAACAGCUAGAAUAGGAAAUGAUUUUAGUUUGACGGUACCAUACCAGAAGGGGACGGCUAAAUACGUG